rnacentral:lncRNA from 10 species
UAAGAAUAGAAAAGCAGCAUUCUGAACAGCAAUGCUCAUCACAUAAACAUGAAGUUUCCUCCAAAAGGAAUGAUGACUAAUGCUUUGAGGAAACAGCAGACGUCAGACAGCAAGCCCAGAAAAACCUGCCAGCACCAAGAGGGUGUCCUCAACAGGCGCCUGGGGGACAUAUUAUUCUAACUAAAGAGACCAGAGCUUCCCCAGGAAGGGAAGAGGAGAGAAAUGAAGAACGUCUGUGUUCAUGUUUGCCAAAAACAAAAGUCUGAGAAAUCUCUGAGAGACUCUACAUGGGAGGAAAAGUGCAACCCACUGGAGAAAGAGAGGGACUCCGAGGAAGGAGAGAGAGAAGAGCAUCAAGCACAAAUGAUGAUCUCCUAGGACAGUGGCAGCUUCUGAGAAUGCACAGGAAAGUGACCAGGGAAAGAAUGAUUCCAUCUCCAGGAAUCCCUGGUGAUCUUCAGAGCCCAGACAGGACCCUGCUGGGCCAUGGUAACUGAGAAACUGAGAAGCAGAUACAGUGGUCCCUAUGUUGGCAACCUCAGCUGAAGAGGAACAACUCUCUCUAUAAUCAAGGACUUCUGAAACCAGAAAUCACCAGCGUGGGGAGAGAACAUUAAAGGCAGAGGUGUCUCUUAUAAGCACAACGUGUGACCAGAACUUGGAUUACUGUCAGCUUCUAGUGUCUCCAUCAUUCAUAAUUGCACUGUGUUGGUCCACCCACUUUACUCCUAAAGAAGAGGUAAGAAACAGAAGAGGAGAUCACAGUGGCUCUUCAACUAUUAAUAUACCACAGACUUCAAUAACAAAUGAAGAGAAACAAGAAAAGAAAGCAAUGCAAAAAGAACGGUACUAUUAUCUCAAUUUUAGAGAUGGAAAAACUAAGCAACAAGUAGUUACAGAAGUUGUCCAGGAUCGCACAGUUAGACAACGGCAGUCAAGUUCUGGUGAGCCCAAAGGCUCCAUCUUAACCACUCUUCUAGGCUACCUCUCCAGGAU